rnacentral:rRNA from 1 species
UGAAUACGAGAUGCUACGGCGUCGAAGCAGUGUAUGUCAGACUUCCAAGAAAAGCUCGCAAUGUCAUAAAUAAAGAAUGCCUGUACCAUAACCGACACAGGUGGGUAGGUAGAGUAUACUAAGGGGCGCGAGAUAACUCUCUCUAAGGAACUCGGCAAAAUAACUCCGUAACUUCGGGAGAAGGAGUGCCUUCUUGAAGAAGGUUGCAAUAACAAGAUCCAAGCAACUGUUUAUCAAAAACACAGGUCUCCGCUAAGUCGAAAGACGAUGUAUGGGGGCUGACGCCUGCCCAGUGCCAGAAGGUUAAAGAAGCUGGUUAGCAAUAGCGAAGCUGGUGACUGAAGCCCUGGUGAACGGCGGCCGUAACAAUAACGGUCCUAAGGUAGCGAAAUUCCUUGUCGGGUAAGUUCCGACCCGCACGAAAGGCGUAAUGAUUUGGAUACUGUCUCGGAGAGGGACUCGGUGAAAUAGACUUGUCUGUGAAGAUGCGGACUACCUGCACCAGGACAGAAAGACCCUAUGAAGCUUUACUGUAACUUGAAAUUGAAAUUGGACUUUAUUUGCGCAGUAUAGGUGGAAGGCGUUGAGAUUACUCUUGCGGGAUUAGUGGAGCCAUCAGUGAGAUACCACUCCUAUAAUGUUAGAUUUCUAACUUUGGAUCAUAAUCUGGUCAGAGAACAGUUUCAGGCGGGCAGUUUGACUGGGGCGGUCGCCUCCCAAAUGGUAACGGAGGCGUACAAAGGUUUCCUCUGAACGGGUAGAAAUCGUAUCUAGAGUGUAAAGGCAUAAGGAAGCUUGACUGUGAGACCUACAAGUCGAGCAGGGACGAAAGUCGGUCUUAGUGAUCUGACGGUGCUGAGUGGAAAGGCCGUCACUCAACGGAUAAAAGUUACUCUAGGAUAACAGGCUGAUCUCCCCCAAGAGUUCACAUCGACGGGGAGGUUUGGCACCUCGAUGUCGGCUCAUCGCAUCCUGGGGCGGUAGUACGUCCCAAGGGUUGGGCUGUUCGCCCAUGAAAGCGGUACGCGAGCUGGGUUCAGAACGUCGUGAGACAGUUCGGUCCAUAUCCGGUGUAGGCGUUAGAAUAUUGAGAGGAGCCUUCUUUAGUACGAGAGGACCGAGAAGGACAUACCUCUGGUGUACCAGUUAUCGUGCCAACGGUAAACGCUGGGUAGCUAUGUAUGGAGAGGAUAACCGCUGAAAGCAUCUAAGUGGGAAGCCCACCUCAAGAUGAGUAUUCUCAUC